CCAGUAAGCAGCAUUCCUUCAUGGCCUCUGCAUCAGCUCCUGCCUCCAGGUUCCUACCCUGUGUGAGUUCCAGUUCUGACUUCCUUUGGUGAUGAACAGAUACAUCUUAACUAAUCAACGCCCAAUCUCAUAGCCAGACACAGUAAAGACCUUGAACACAUUCAUCUCUGGACCUCUACCUUCCAUCAUGAUCAUAAACUCUUUCAUGAGCCCGGAGAUGAGACCUGAGGAUUCUACCCAGAAGCAGACGGCAGAGUCCUGGGCAGAGUUAUUCAUUGUUGAUGGAAGAAUAAAGCUUUGAAGGGCGAUAGGUUCCGGGGACCAGGCUUCCUCAGCAAGCGCGUUUCCCGAUGAGCCAUCUUGUCAGCCCGUGUUUCUGUCUUGCCAACUCUGCUGUCUAACUCCAGAGUUUGCCUCUCGGAAAUCCUAUAAGCGAUGGGGGCUGCUCACUGUGGCAUGCUUGAGCUGUGCCCAGAAUUUGCAGGAAACCUCCUGUAUCGUCAGCUUACCGGCAGCCUUGUUUAUGUGGCAAGAUUCCCACAGCAGGAACAACAAGACCCGAGCUGUGUCUCUCAGGCCCUUCAUGCUAUUGAUUUCCAUCACAUUUGAAAGGUAUUACCUGUGAGUUGCCAGCAGAGGCAGAAUAUGAUGUUCAAGGACAACUCUUUAUUUUCUGUGAUUUGCGGUAUCUACUUGGAAAUCAGCCCUGUUGACCUGAAGAAUAGCCAGUUACCAUUUACCUACAUGGAUCUGGAGGCUGUAGCUAAGUCUGGCA
rnacentral:lncRNA from 1 species